AGUGGUAAGGACGUGUUCCCUGGCAGUGUGGCCUGCCGAUGUUACACUGUCCAGGCUCACAGCUCAGCUGGGCCUCUCCUUGACUCUGGGUCUUUUGAUGGUGAAACUAAGACCGCAGGGAAGUAAUUUGCCCAAGGUCACGGAGCUGUGCCGGAGCUGGGAUUCAAACAGGAGCGCCUGACCCUAGCACCUGGGCUCAUGAGAUUUAUCAUCAGACAGCUGAUCAUCACGGAACCAAACACCGAGGACGUGCUAAUGGGGUGGAAUCCCAGCCUUGUCUGCCCUGACAACUCGCGCCCUGUCUCGCGAGGACCGCAGCGCAGGGCGCUCCUGGGCCACCCACUCACUCACCCGGAUGUGCAGGUCCUGGAAGAAGAUGAGGAGUGUCUGUCGGAUGAGCUGGAACUCCCCCGCAGAGAGGCCCCCGUAUAUCUGCGCAGGCAAAGCAGAAACAGGCAUUCUGCUUUCAGAAAAUCUGCCUCUCCUUAACACGGGAGUGAGAACGAUUUUGGGGGCUGAGAGGACGCACGCCGACAGCCCGCUUACGUCAGUCAGCUGCCGGAAUGUCUCGUCCACUUGAUGAAGGAUGGUUGGGGAAUCUUGG